rnacentral:rRNA from 1 species
AGAGUUGAUCAUGGCUACAGGACGAACGCUGGCGGCGUGCCUAACACAUGCAAGUCGAGCGAGGAGACUCCUUCGGGAUGAUCCUAGCGGCGGACGGGUGAGUAACACGUGGGCAACCUGCCUCAUAGAGAGGAAUAGCCUUCCGAAAGGGAGAUUAAUACCUCAUAACAUUGCAGUUUCGCAUGGAACAGCAAUUAAAGGAGCAAUCCGCUAUGAGAUGGGCCCGCGGCGCAUUAGCUAGUUGGUGAGGUAACGGCUCACCAAGGCGACGAUGCGUAGCCGACCUGAGAGGGUGAUCGGCCACAUUGGGACUGAGACACGGCCCAGACUCCUACGGGAGGCAGCAGUGGGGAAUAUUGCACAAUGGGGGAAACCCUGAUGCAAGCAACGCCGCGUGAGUGAUGACGGCCUUCGGGUUGUAAAGCUCUGUCUUCAGGGACGAUAAUGACGGUACCUGAGGAGGAAGCCACGGCUAACUACGUGCCAGCAGCGGC